rnacentral:rRNA from 1 species
GACGAACGCUGGCGGCGUGCUUAACACAUGCAAGUCGAGCGGUAAGGCCCUUUCGGGGGUACACGAGCGGCGAACGGGUGAGUAACACGUGAGUGACCUGCCCUUAGCUCUGGGAUAAGCCUGGGAAACUGGGUCUAAUACCGGAUAUGACUCCAUGACGCAUGUUGUGGGGUGGAAAGCCUUGUGCGGCUAGGGAUGGGCCCGCGGCCUAUCAGCUUGUUGGUGGGGUGAUGGCCUACCAAGGCGACGACGGGUAGCCGGCCUGAGAGGGCGACCGGCCACACUGGGACUGAGACACGGCCCAGACUCCUACGGGAGGCAGCAGUGGGGAAUCUUGCGCAAUGGGCGAAAGCCUGACGCAGCGACGCCGCGUGGGGA